rnacentral:rRNA from 1 species
UACCAGCUCUUCGAGUGGUGUGGAUGUUUAUUGGGCCUAAAGCAUCCGUAGCUGGCUGGGCAAGUCCCCUGUUAAAUCCACCGAUUCAAUCGCUGGAGUGCGGGGGAUACUGCUCGGCUAGGGGACGGGAGAGGCAGACGGUAUUUUCGGGGUAGGGGUGAAAUCCUAUAAUCCCGGGAAGACCACCAGUGGCGAAGGCUGUCUGCUAGAACGUGCCCGACGGUGAGGGAUGAAAGCUGGGGGAGCGAACCGGAUUAGAUACCCGGGUAGUCCCAGCUGUAAACGAUGCAGGCUAGGUGUUUGGACGGCCACGUGCCGUUCUAGUGCCGCAGGGAAGCCGUUAAGCCUGCCGCCUGGGGAUACGGCCGCAAGGCUGAAACUUAAGGAAUUGGCGGGGAGCACACAAGGGGUGAAGCUUGCGGUUU